UUAACUAAAACCAAAAAGAGGUGUGCCACUGUUAAUGACAUAAUUGAGUAUUAACUCUAGUUAAG
rnacentral:tRNA from 1 species